UACGGAGGGAGCUAGCGUUGUUCGGAAUUACUGGGCGUAAAGCGUACGUAGGCGGUUAUUCAAGUCAGAGGUGAAAGCCCGGGGCUCAACCCCGGAACUGCCUUUGAAACUAGAUAACUAGAAUCUUGGAGAGGUCAGUGGAAUUCCGAGUGUAGAGGUGAAAUUCGUAGAUAUUCGGAAGAACACCAGUGGCGAAGGCGACUGACUGGACAAGUAUUGACGCUGAGGUACGAAAGCGUGGGGAGCAAACAGGG
rnacentral:rRNA from 1 species